rnacentral:rRNA from 1 species
CAUGGCUCAGGAUGAACGCUGGCGGCGUGCUUAACACAUGCAAGUCGAACGGAAACUUAAUGAAACCUAGUGAUAUAAGUUUUAGUGGCGGACGGGUGAGUAACGCGUGGGUAACCUGCCGUAUGCAGGGGGAUAACAGUUAGAAAUGACUGCUAAUACCGCAUAAGACCACAGUCUCGCAUGAGACAGGGGUAAAAACUCCGGUGGCAUACGAUGGACCCGCGUCUGAUUAGAUAGUUGGUGAGGUAACGGCCCACCAAGUCAACGAUCAGUAGCCGGCCUGAGAGGGUGAACGGCCACAUUGGGACUGAGACACGGCCCAAACUCCUACGGGAGGCAGCAGUGGGGAAUAUUGCACAAUGGGCGAAAGCCUGAUGCAGCGACGCCGCGUGAGUGAAGAAGUAUUUCGGUAUGUAAAGCUCUAUCAGCAGGGAAGAAAAUGACGGUACCUGACUAAGAAGCACCGGCUAAAUACGUGCCAGCAGCCGCGGUAAUACGUAUGGUGCAAGCGUUAUCCGGAUUUACUGGGUGUAAAGGGAGCGUAGACGGCGAGGCAAGUCUGAAGUGAAAGCUCGGGGCUCAACCCCGGAACUGCUUUGGAAACUGUUUUGCUAGAGUGCAGGAGAGGCAAGUGGAAUUCCUAGUGUAGCGGUGAAAUGCGUAGAUAUUAGGAGGAACA